AAGCUGCAGCUGCGGCAGCUCGCCGGCAGCCGCGCCCCGGGCGCUGACGACUCUAAGCGCGACCUCUUCAAGCGCGUGAUCUCGUACAUGACGGUGGGGAUUGACGUUUCGGCCGCCUUCAGUGAGAUGGUCAUGUGCUCUGCUACCUCCGACAUCGUCCUCAAAAAGAUGUGCUACCUUUACGUCGGCAACUACGCCCGGUGCCACCCUGAUCUCGCCCUUCUCACCAUCAACUUCCUCCAGAAGGACUGCCACGAUGAGGACCCCAUGAUCCGUGGCCUGGCCCUUCGCAGCCUUUGCUCCCUCCGCGUCCCCAACCUCGUGGAAUACCUCGUCGCCCCUCUUGGCGCUGGGCUCAAGGACGGCAGCUCCUAUGUCCGGAUGGUUGCCGCUGUCGGGGUCCUCAAGCUAUAUCACAUAUCGGCUGCUACCUGCUUAGAUUCGGAUUUUCCUGCCGUGCUCAAGAGCCUUAUGCUCACCGAUCCCGA
rnacentral:lncRNA from 1 species